AGGACUUUAGCUUAAUUAAAAGUUUUUGAGUUGCAUUCAUAAGAUGUGGGGUAAUUGCCUGCAAGUCCUA